rnacentral:rRNA from 1 species
GAGUUUGAUCCUGGCUCAGGAUGAACGCUAGCGGCAGGCUUAACACAUGCAAGUCGAGGGGUAACGGGGAAGCUUGCUUCCGCCGACGACCGGCGCACGGGUGCGUAACGCGUAUACAAUCUACCUUAUACUGGGGUAUAGCCUUUAGAAAUGAAGAUUAACCCCCCAUAGUCUCUUAGAGUGGCAUCACUUCUAGAGUAAAGGUUACGGUAUAAGAUGAGUAUGCGUUCUAUUAGUUUGUUGGUGUGGUAACGGCACACCAAGACUACGAUAGAUAGGGGCCCUGAGAGGGGGAUCCCCCACACUGGUACUGAGACACGGACCAGACUCCUACGGGAGGCAGCAGUGAGGAAUAUUGGACAAUGGAGGCAACUCUGAUCCAGCCAUGCCGCGUGCAGGAAGACUGCCCUAUGGGUUGUAAACUGCUUUUAUACAGGAAGAAACACCUCUACGUGUAGAGGCUUGACGGUACUGUAAGAAUAAGGAUCGGCUAACUCCGUGCCAGCAGCCGCGGUAAUACGGAGGAUCCAAGCGUUAUCCGGAAUCAUUGGGUUUAAAGGGUCCGUAGGUGGAUAAUUAAGUCAGAGGUGAAAUCUUGCAGCUCAACUGUAAAAUUGCCUUUGAAACUGGUUAUCUUGAGUUAUUAUGGAGUAGUUAGAAUAUGUAGUGUAGCGGUGAAAUGCAUAGAUAUUACAUAGAAUACCCAAUGCGAAGGCAGAUUACUAAUAAUCAACUGACACUGAUGGACGAAAGCGUGGGUAGCGAACAGGAUUAGAUACCCUGGUAGUCCACGCCGUAAACGAUGGUUACUAGCUGUUUGGACUUCGGUCUGAGUGGCUAAGCGAAAGUGAUAAGUAACCCACCUGGGGAGUACGUUCGCAAGAAUGAAACUCAAAGGAAUUGACGGGGGCCCGCACAAGCGGUGGAGCAUGUGGUUUAAUUCGAUGAUACGCGAGGAACCUUACCAGGGCUUAAAUGUAAGUUGCAUUAGUUAGAGAUAGCUAUUUCUUCGGACCACUUACAAGGUGCUGCAUGGUUGUCGUCAGCUCGUGCCGUGAGGUGUCAGGUUAAGUCCUAUAACGAGCGCAACCCCUGUUGUUAGUUGCCAGCGAGUCAUGUCGGGAACUCUAGCAAGACUGCCAGUGCAAACUGUGAGGAAGGUGGGGAUGACGUCAAAUCAUCACGGCCCUUACGUCCUGGGCUACACACGUGCUACAAUGGUAGGUACAGAGAGCAGCCACUGCGCGAGCAGGAGCGAAUCUACAAAACCUAUCACAGUUCGGAUCGGAGUCUGCAACUCGACUCCGUGAAGCUGGAAUCGCUAGUAAUCGGAUAUCAGCCAUGAUCCGGUGAAUACGUUCCCGGGCCUUGUACACACCGCCCGUCAAGCCAUGGAAGUUGGAAGUGCCUGAAGUCCGUCACCGCAAGGAGCGGCCUAGGGUAAAGUCGAUAACUAGGGCUAAGUCGUAACAAGGUAACC